rnacentral:rRNA from 1 species
AUGGGCGGAAGCCUGAACCAGCCAAGUAGCGUGCAGGAUGACGGCCCUACGGGUUGUAAACUGCUUUUAUGCGGGGAUAAAGUGAGGGACGUGUCCCUUUUUGCAGGUACCGCAUGAAUAAGGACCGGCUAAUUCCGUGCCAGCAGCCGCGGUAAUACGGAAGGUCCGGGCGUUAUCCGGAUUUAUUGGGUUUAAAGGGAGCGUAGGCCGGGGAUUAAGUGUGUUGUGAAAUGUAGGCGCCCAACGUCUGACUUGCAGCGCAUACUGGUUCCCUUGAGUACGCGCAACGCCGGCGGAAUUCGUCGUGUAGCGGUGAAAUGCUUAGAUAUGACGAAGAACCCCGAUUGCGAAGGCAGCCGGCGGGAGCGCAACUGACGCUGAAGCUCGAAGGUGCGGGUAUCGAACAGGAUUAGAUACCCUGGUAGUCCGCACGGUAAACGAUGGAUGCCCGCUGUCGGCGCCUUGCGCCGGCGGCCAAGCGAAAGCGUUAAGCAUCCCACCUGGGGAGUACGCCGGCAACGGUGAAAACUCAAAGGAAUUGACGGGGGCCCGCACAAGCGGAGGAACAUGUGGUUUAAUUCGAUGAUACGCGAGGAACCUUACCCGGGCAUGAAUCGCAG